GAUGAACGCUGGCGGCGUGCCUAAUACAUGCAAGUCGAGCGAACAGACGAGGAGCUUGCUCCUCUGACGUUAGCGGCGGACGGGUGAGUAACACGUGGAUAACCUACCUAUAAGACUGGGAUAACUUCGGGAAACCGGAGCUAAUACCGGAUAACAUGUUGAACCGCAUGGUUCAACAGUGAUAGACGGUUUUGCCGUCACUUAUAGAUGGAUCCGCGUCGCAUUAGCUAGUUGGUAAGGUAACGGCUUACCAAGGCAACGAUGCGUAGCCGACCUGAGAGGGUGAUCAGCCACACUGGAACUGAGACACGGUCCAGACUCCUACGGGAGGCAGCAGUAGGGAAUCUUCCGCAAUGGGCGAAAGCCUGACCGAGCAACGCCGCGUGAGUGAAGAAGGUCUUCGGAUCGUAAAACUCUUUUAUUGGGGAAGAACAAAUGUAUAAGAAACUAUGCACGUCUUGACGGUACCUAAUCAAAAAGCCACGGCUAACUUCGUG
rnacentral:rRNA from 1 species